rnacentral:rRNA from 1 species
GGUGGUGCAUGGCCGUUCUUAGUUGGUGGAGCGAUUUGUCUGGUUAAUUCCGAUAACGAACGAGACUCUGGCAUGCUAACUAGUUACGCGACCCCCGAGCGGUCGGCGUCCCCCAACUUCUUAGAGGGACAAGUGGCGUUCAGCCACCCGAGAUUGAGCAAUAACAGGUCUGUGAUGCCCUUAGAUGUCCGGGGCUGCACGCGCGCUACACUGACUGGCUCAGCGUGUGCCUACCCUACGCCGGCAGGCGCGGGUAACCCGUUGAACCCCAUUCGUGAUGGGGAUCGGGGAUUGCAAUUAUUCCCCAUGAACGAGGAAUUCCCAGUAAGUGCGGGUCAUAAGCUUGCGUUGAUUAAGUCCCUGCCCUUUGUACACACCG